UGAAAUAGACAAGGCCUGGUGCAGAU
rnacentral:piRNA from 1 species